rnacentral:misc_RNA from 1 species
CACGUAGGGGGCAAAUGUUGUCCGGAAUCAUUGGGCGUAAAGCGCGUGUAGGCGGUCCGGUAAGUCCGCUGUGAAAGUCGGGGGCUCAACCCUCGAAAGCCGGUGGAUACUGUCGGGCUAGAGUACGGAAGAGGCGAGUGGAAUUCCUGGUGUAGCGGUGAAAUGCGCAGAUAUCAGGAGGAACACCAAUUGCGAAGGCAGCUCGCUGGGACGUUACUGACGCUGAGACGCGAAAGCGUGGGGAGCAAACAGG